AUUGAACGCUGGCGGCAGGCCUAACACAUGCAAGUCGAACGAGUGGCGGACGGGUGAGUAAUGUCUGGGAAACUGCCUGAUGGAGGGGGAUAACUACUGGAAACGGUAGCUAAUACCGCAUACCAUCGGAUGUGCCCAGAUGGGAUUAGCUAGUAGGUGGGGUAAAGGCUCACCUAGGCGACGAUCCCUAGCUGGUCUGAGAGGAUGACAGGCAGACUUGGAACUGAGAAACGGUCAAGACUCAUAGGGAAGGAGGAAGUGGGGAAUAUUGAAGAAUGGGCGCAAGCCUAAUGCGGCCAGGCCGCGUGUAUGAAGAAGGCCUUCGGGUUGUAAAGUACUUUCAGCGGGGAGGCGUUACCCGCAGAAGAAGCACCGGCUAACGCCGUGCCAGCCGCCGCGGUAAUAC
rnacentral:rRNA from 1 species